UGCCCUUGACUCUGGGAUAAGCCUGGGAAACCGGGUCUAAUACUGGAUACGACCUUCUGGCGCAUGCCAUGUUGGUGGAAAGCUUUUGUGGUUUUGGAUGGACUCGCGGCCUAUCAGCUUGUUGGUGGGGUAAUGGCCUACCAAGGCGACGACGGGUAGCCGGCCUGAGAGGGUGACCGGCCACACUGGGACUGAGACACGGCCCAGACUCCUACGGGAGGCAGCAGUGGGGAAUAUUGCACAAUGGGCGCAAGCCUGAUGCAGCGACGCCGCGUGAGGGAUGAAGGCCUUCGGGUUGUAAACCUCUUUCAGUAGGGAAGAAGCCGGCCUUUCGGGGUUGGUGACGGUACCUGCAGAAGAAGCGCCGGCUAACUACGUGCCAGCCGCC
rnacentral:rRNA from 1 species